rfam:Monodelphis domestica chromosome 8, whole genome shotgun sequence.
UGGCCAAGGAUGAAAACCACAGUCUGAUUGGGCAUGCUUUCCAUGCUCUGAUGGGUUAAAGGAUUUACCUGAGGCCA